rnacentral:hammerhead_ribozyme from 1 species
AUCCAUCUGACGAGUCUGAAAUAGGAGGGAACGCGUGUCAAACUGGAU